rnacentral:rRNA from 1 species
UACGGAGGGUGCAAGCGUUAAUCGGAAUUACUGGGCGUAAAGCGCACGCAGGUGGCUGAGUCAGUCGAUUGUGAAAGCCCUGGGCUUAACCUGGGAAUUGCAGUCGAUACUACUCAGCUAGAGUAUGGGAGAGGGUAGUGGAAUUCCCGGUGUAGCGGUGAAAUGCGUAGAUAUCGGGAGGAACAUCAGUGGCGAAGGCGGCUACCUGGCCCAAUACUGACACUGAGAGACGAAAGCCAGGGGAGCAAACGGG